rnacentral:lncRNA from 1 species
GUAAACACAAGGUUUUAACUUUUUAUCUUGAUACUGGGAAGGAUCAACCCCCCAACACACACACACACACACACACACACACACACACACACACACACACACACACACACACACACACACACACACCUUUUCUUUACACACACACACACACACACACACACACACACACACACCUUUUCUUUUCCGUUCAUCAGCUUUUCUAUUUGGGGACUUGCUCACUUGUUAGCUGUAGUUCCGGCUCUCUUGUUGCUGAAGCUCUUUUUCCACCAGCAGAGUGACAGGAAUCUAACAGCACAUUAAAACUUCAAAACAAAGCCGUGAACUCUAGCAGUGUUUCUACCUUGAAGACAGAGCAUGGGAGAGAGAGUCAAGAAAACAAAGAUUUGGAACCAAACAGUUCAUCUUGCAGUUGUCUUAAAGGUACAAGUUCCCUGUUAUCUUUCUUUAUGGAGUUGGCAAAUGGAAUGAAGAACCUUAUGCAUGCUAGGCAAGUGUUUUACCAAGUGAUUAAUUUCACUUUCAGUGCCUUCCUUCCCGAGCCGAAGUGCUUCUGUAGAGACUAAUUCAGUGAAACCUGUUUAGGGGAUCAUCCCUGCUAGACAGACAGCUGCGAGGGGCAUCCGCUUCCCAGCAUGGAUUUCAGAUUAUGACCAAUGAGGAGCCGGAGCUAAGGAACACCUGUCAGCGAUGUUUGCUGCAAGGAGACCAGCUCUUUAAUCGAAUUUCAUUGUACUUCAGAAAAAGGUUUAUUUUAAAUGUGGCGUCUGCUUUUAUGAUUCAUUCCUCUCAGCUGAGACAUCACUUUGGGGCUUAUUUAUGAUGUUGUUCUAGGGUGAAACGAGAAACUGCAAGAAAGUAUUUCAAAAGGCGGCCUUUCCCAGACAUUCAAUUAGCAACCUUGUCAUGUGGGAAAAUAAAAAAAGCAAUGGAAAUCUUUAGUUUUUGUGUGUGAAUAUAAUUAUGAUAGGGAUCCUUCUGAACACACUUUAGAGUGUUGAAGCUGGAUAGUAAAUGCUCUCUGUGAAGUCUGGGGAACUUUCCUUAUGGAAAUCCAUCUCGCUUAUCUGUGAUGUGAGCAGAGCAAACUAUCAUUGAUGCUGAUGGAUUCUGAAAGGCCAUGCUGACUUUCAACUUGGCCCUAAUUGGAGGCCCUGCUAAGCCCCAUAAUACCAGGUACCUUCUCACAGCUGCAGACCAUGGAGUGUAACUAUCAGAAGACAAACUUCACUGUGCAAACUGUAAUUUAAUGGUAUAACUGUGUGCAGCCCAGAAUAUCAGUUAAUUUUCAAAACAUUUUAUUCUACAGCAAUUAGCUCAGGUCCUGGAGGGCAAAAUGACAAGAGGUUACUCGUUCACUAUGUAUUUAAUUAAUUGAAAAAUGCUCCAAUUGCCUUUACAGUUGUUAUUAGAGAGUGGAAUCAGUGUUGCCAGCGCUCAACCAUAAUUGGAACCCCAGGGAAUUAAAUAUUUAGCAUUAGUAAUGUAACGGCACUUAGGACACAAAUUUCUAUUUUCGUAAUGAAAGCUAUACACUGUGAGUGCAAGCGGCUGAAAGGACAGCUGUGACAAGCGAAACGGCCUGGGACAUUUCAAUAAGACACCUCAUUGGACAGCAAGUCUUACCACAUUAUGCGUUUGUAAGAGACCUGCAAGUUUAAUUCCCACAAGGAACUCGUAGCCCAAGUCUUUAGCGUCCUAAUUGCAUGCAGGAUGAACGGUUGGGCAAAUGUCUUGCCAUAAGUGGCUGAAAUUCAUCCUGCUUUCCAAACAAUCGCAUAUAAGUUCGUGCCUUUGUCAAUUUAAAAAUACUGAGACUGUCAGGAAAUAAGGAGCUUGUUUGUUUUCCAUUUAAUUAUAUUUUAAGCACACAUGCUUUCUGUGCUACAAUGAGAAAAGUUAGCUGUUGGUUCUAAUGAGCCGCAGUGUAGAUGCUGGAGACCCUGAGGGAUUCACUCUGUAAAUUAGCUGGAUAAAAAGUACUUGGUUAGGAUAUAGUUGAUGGCUGAGCUGUUCGGAGAACCAGUUAUGGUACUGUCUCUCACUGCUCUUUCAUUCUAAACAGGCCCUGUAGAGACUUUAACAGCUGCCCAUUAAAGCUGCUCAACUUGUCAAAAUGUAUUAUAUUACUCCACUAAUAAAUAGUAUUAAAGGGUAUUUGACUUCACCUCUCAUUUUCAAAGGGGAUCAGGUUGAUAAACACAACUGGCUUAAGCUGGUCUUAUUUUAAUUUGUUUAUGUCAGCUAAGUAAUAUUGAAGGGCCAUGUUUUAAAUUUGCAAACAUUACCUUCCCAGGCAGGCAAAACUUCCCAAAUAUGAUAUACAGUGGAAACAAGGAAUUGAGACACUUAUUGUAGACUGUUUCUCAUUGAAAGGUGCCUGAUUUUGACAUUGUUAGGCCACUUUAAAGAACCUGAGAGCCCUUGACUAAACUGACAACCUCAGAAAAAUAAAAGUCACAAGAUGAAUAAGUAAUGUCACAAGUUUCUGUUGAUUUUCCAUUGUUCCUGUGUCUAUUUUGGAUUAUUCAAAGUGAUCGUGAUUUUUUUUUAUCAAUUUUUAAGCAUUUUUCAAAACAAUGCAUGUUUACUUUAAAAAAAUACUUUAUUUGAUAAAGUCUUCCUUAGACCCUUUCCCAACUCUGCCUGCCUGCCUGCUAGUCUCCUUUGAUAAUAGGUUUUUUUUUUCUUUUGGUCUUGUUUUUUUGCAUGUGCAUGUGUAUAUAUGUGGUGUGCAUAUGUAUGUAUCUGUGAGUAUGAAGGCCAGAGAUUGACAGUUGACAUAAAAUGUCGUCUUAAUCACUUCCCACCAUUUUUAUUGGGGCAGGUCUCUCAGUUGAACCUGAAGCUUGAUGAUCAGCUCAUUCACCCAGCCAGCUUGCUCUGGGUAUAUAUUAUAUACAUACACAUGUUGGUCUAUGCUUAUAGAUCAUAAUGGUGCCUCAGAUCACUCACAUUUAAAAAUUUUGUUACAUUUGUUUUCAGGGAGUGGUCACAUGCCAAAGUGUAUUGGGGUGUUGAUCAGAGGACAACUUGCAGUUCUCUCUUUCUAUUAUGGAAAUCCCAGUGAUAGAACUCUGGUGUCAGGCUUGGCAACAAGCCUCCUUCCCAGAUUAGCCAUCUCACUGGCCUGAUGGGAGUGCUUUUUAUAACCAUUAGUACAUAUUGUGCAGGUACAAAAAUGUAUUUAUCUGUUGAUUGCCAAUGCCAUUCAGAGUAAUUCAGUUUUGCCAUAGGAAAUGAUACUGUGCUGAACAUCUUCCUAAGCAUUUGAGUGGGCAUGGAUGGGUACAGGGCUCUGUGCGUGUAACACAGAACUGUGAAUCAUCACGGACUGCACCAUUACUGUGUGCUGGGCAUUGUUCAAAAUAACUUUGGUAACUCGUUCCAUCUCUACCCUAAUUAAGAGUUAAGGUAUAGCCAGAUGGUGGUAGCACACACCUCUAAUCCCAGCACUCAGAAGGCAAAGGUAGGCAGAUCUCUGUCAGUUCAAGACCAGCAUGGUCCACAGAGCUAGUUCUAGGACAGCCAGGGCUACACAAAGAAACCCUGUCUCCGAAAACAGAAAAACAAACAAACAAACAAACAAAAGAGUUAAGGUGUAUUGUUAGCCUUAUUUUAUGUAAGGAAACUGAGGCUCAAAGGGGUUAAGCUCCUCAAGGCCACCAGAGUAUACUGUUAGCCAGUCUCUUGUGCCUUCCCCCAUGUUCGCACACACGUGUACACACACACACACACACACACACACACACACACACACACAGCAGUACCUUCCUUGCAUGUGGGUUCAAUUGUGGUUUUCCAUACUUGUUGCCAUCACAUUUCUUCUGAGAACUAAACUGUUGUGUCUUUUCUCAUUUUAUUGUAGUAUGGCCCCAUUGGGCCACACAAAGAUCUUGACUGAUUAAGGCUGUCUCUUGUUUUUAACAGCUGGGGUCUGAACCUCCCAUGCUAGGCAAGUCUUCUACCACUGAGCUACAACUCCCAGCACUUUUGUUUUCUUUUGAGACAGGAUCUCACACAGUCACUCAGGCUACAACUGACUCAGCAGCUCAGAAGGCCUCAGCCUCCCAAUAGCUGGGAUUAUAGGCUGUGGUUUGGAUGUCUCUGAUACAGGUAAUCAUGUCCCCCCUUGGCCCUGUGCCUAUAUUUUCAUUUUAUGUUAACAUUACUAAGAUUUGCUUUGUGGACUGGGAUAUAAGGAAACUUUGUAACCCCAGGGGUGCAAAGAAACAUUUUCCUAUAUAGUUUUCCAUACUAUUAAUUUAUUUUGGGUUUUUAUCUUAGACCCAUAUUUGAAUAUAUAUAUAUAUAUAUAUAUAUAUAUAUAUAUGAAAUAGAUGAAAAUCAAGUCUUUGAUUUGUAGUAACUUCUGCAGCCUCCUCUUCCUUUAUCUAAUGUUAAAGCUCCACUUGUAUUCUCUCUUGAUAGACAGUUCUUCUGGAAUAUUCCAUUUGUAGACUGCCUGGCCUUGUACCAUUCCAUUUUCUGUUGCUAUGAAUUUUCCUCUAAGCUCGGCAUUGGUUUCAUCGACCAGCCCUCCUGCUGCAACCUCUGUGUACAAGGCUUGGAGGUGACUGUCCUUCCUGCUGGAUUCUAGUCAUAAAGGAACUGAAGGCCAGAGGGAUUUGAGGGGCUUCUCCAGAUAAGACACCAGAAACCCCAACAUUUGAGCAACAGAUUGCAUUGUCCUGGAAGCAGUAUGCUGAAGCAUCACUAACUAUUGUUUCAAGUUGAGACACUCAGCGAUACUGAGCGAGUGCCUGAGCUCCUGGUCUUCAGACAAGUGCAUAGCUUUGCUACUCUGAAGAAAGCAGCUGCCCCAAGCCUUUUACACAGCAUGACAGUUCUGCUGGUACUGGACUGUGAAGGCUGGCCUGGGAAGGUGCUGCUUACACAACACCAGGAAACACACAUCUGUAAACCCUCAGCAUGCUCCACUGGGCAGAACGGAGGAGGCUGCUACCACAUAGCUGGACCAUAUUUUUUGUGGUAGUUCUACAAAUGAGGAUAAAAGCACUUAGAGGAACGAAGCAUAAAGAAGAAACGAAUGGAUACUUCUGUUAUUACUGCCAUCAAAUGGUUGAGUUCCUGCUCACAGGGAGCACUGGAAUUUGCUGGCUUUCCUUGGCUGCUGCUGAGCAUCCAGAUGAGACGAUUGCAUUCAGGUGAUCUUUCCUUCAUGCACACCAUCCAACCUUACUCGAAGAAGAUCAAGCAAAUGCACACCUACUUCCCAUCACAGACUCAGAGCUGUUGUUUGCUGUGGGGUACAGCAGAGUUCGGAAACCAUCCACUUCACAAAAUCUCCACUCCUCACCGAGAAGGCCUUCAAACCCAGAACUGUUGCAGCUAGAGCAGCACCACUCAUCUGAUUGCACAGAAACCACCAGAAGCACAUUUGAUUCUCCUAGAUUUACCUUACGCCCCUAUCUACCCAACUCGAUGCUCUUUCUCUCUCAAAGAACAGAAAGAAGAAGAAGAAGAAAAAAAACCCAGAUAACCAAAGCAAACAUACAAACAAAGCAGAUCUAAUUUUAGCACUAUGAUGAAUGGCCCAGGAAUGAAUUCCACUGCCCUCCACAAAAAGGAAGAUACAUCAGACCUGCCCAGGCACCAUCGGAAGCACUUUCAAUAAGCAGGGAGUCGCUUAACUCUCACCGCAUGCCUCCGGCAAGGAAGGUCUAUCCUACGUCUGUGGAUGGAGCGUGGUGGUGGCUAGGGAUCUGCAACUGCCCAAAGUCUCAAGGCCGAUAUGGCAGCACUAGGCGUUGUAUGAACCCAGACGCUCUGAAUCAGAGUUCCAUCAAGACCAUGCCUCCUCUGCCUUAGCAGAUC